GAUGAACGCUGGCGGCGUGCCUAAUACAUGCAAGUCGAGCGAACGGACGAGAAGCUUGCUUCUCUGAUGUUAGCGGCGGACGGGUGAGUAACACGUGGAUAACCUACCUAUAAGACUGGGAUAACUUCGGGAAACCGGAGCUAAUACCGGAUAAUAUUUUGAACCGCAUGGUUCAAAAGUGAAAGACGGUCUUGCUGUCACUUAUAGAUGGAUCCGCGCUGCAUUAGCUAGUUGGUAAGGUAACGGCUUACCAAGGCAACGAUGCAUAGCCGACCUGAGAGUGUGAUCGCCCCCACUGGAACUGAGGCACGGUCCAGACUCCUACGGGAGGCAGCAGUAGGGAAUCUUCCGCAAUGGGCGAAAGCCUGACGGAGCAACGCCGCGUGAGUGAUGAAGGUCUUCGGAUCGUAAAACUCUGUUAUUAGGGAAGAACAUAUGUGUAAGUAACUGUGCACAUCUUGACGGUACCUAAUCAGAAAGCCACGGCUAACUACGUG
rnacentral:rRNA from 1 species